rnacentral:rRNA from 1 species
UGGCGGCAGGCCUAACACAUGCAAGUCGAGCGCUACCUUCGGGUGGAGCGGCGGACGGGUUAGUAACGCGUGGGAACGUACCCAGAUCUAAGGAAUAGCCACUGGAAACGGUGAGUAAUACCUUAUACGCCCUUCGGGGGAAAGAUUUAUCGGAUUUGGAUCGGCCCGCGUUAGAUUAGAUAGUUGGUGGGGUAAUGGCCUACCAAGUCUACGAUCUAUAGCUGGUUUUAGAGGAUGAUCAGCAACACUGGGACUGAGACACGGCCCAGACUCCUACGGGAGGCAGCAGUGGGGAAUCUUGGACAAUGGGCGCAAGCCUGAUCCAGCCAUGCCGCGUGAGUGAUGAAGGCCUUAGGGUCGUAAAGCUCUUUCGCCAGAGAUGAUAAUGACAGUAUCUGGUAAAGAAACCCCGGCUAACUCCGUGCCAGCAGCCGCGGUAAUACGGAGGGGGUUAGCGUUGUUCGGAAUUACUGGGCGUAAAGCGUACGUAGGCGGAUUAGUCAGUCAGAGGUGAAAUCCCAGGGCUCAACCCUGGAACUGCCUUUGAUACUGCUAGUCUUGAGUUCGAGAGAGGUGAGUGGAAUUCCAAGUGUAGAGGUGAAAUUCGUAGAUAUUUGGAGGAACACCAGUGGCGAAGGCGGCUCACUGGCUCGAUACUGACGCUGAGGUACGAAAGUGUGGGGAGCAAACAGGAUUAGAUACCCUGGUAGUCCACACCGUAAACGAUGAAUGCCAGUCGUCGGGCAGUAUACUGUUCGGUGACACACCUAACGGAUUAAGCAUCCGC